GUGGGGAAUUUUGGACAAUGGGCGCAAGCCUGAUCCAGCCAUUCCGCGUGCAGGAUGAAGGCCUUCGGGUUGUAAACUGCUUUUGUACGGAACGAAAAGCCUCUGGUUAAUACCCGGGGGUCAUGACGGUACCGUAAGAAUAAGCACCGGCUAACUACGUGCCAGCAGCCGCGGUAAUACGUAGGGUGCGAGCGUUAAUCGGAAUUACUGGGCGUAAAGCGUGCGCAGGCGGUUAUAUAAGACAGAUGUGAAAUCCCCGGGCUCAACCUGGGAACUGCAUUUGUGACUGUAUAGCUAGAGUACGGUAGAGGGGGAUGGAAUUCCGCGUGUAGCAGUGAAAUGCGUAGAUAUGCGGAGGAACACCGAUGGCGAAGGCAAUCCCCUGGACCUGUACUGACGCUCAUGCACGAAAGCGUGGGGAGCAAACAGGAUUAGAAACCCCGGUAGUCC
rnacentral:rRNA from 1 species